GACGAACGCUGGCGGCGGGCCUAAUACAUGCAAGUAGAACGCUGGCGGAGUAGCUUGUUGCUCUGACUGAGUUGCGAACGGGUAAGGAUCGCGAAGGUAACCGGACUGGGAGCGGGGGAGAGCGAUAGGAAACGGUAGCUAAUACCGCAUCAUAUUGACUAUGGCAUGAUAGUCAGUUGAAAGGUGCAACGGAACCACUACCAGAUGGACCUGCGUUGUAUUAGCUAAUUGGGGGGGUAACGGCUCCCCAAGGCGACGGUACAUAGCCGACCUGAGAGGGUGAGCGGCCACCCUGGGACUGGGACACGGCCCAGGAUCCUACUGGAGGCAGCAGCAGGGGAUCUUCGGCAAUGGACGGAAGUCUGACCGAGCAACGCCGCGUGCGUGUAGAAGGUUUCCGGAUCGUGAAGCUCUGUUGUCUGAGAAGCACGAGUGUCAGAGUGGAAAGCUGACACUGUGACGGUACCUUACGAGAAAGCAACGGCUAACUCCGUG
rnacentral:rRNA from 1 species